GGGAGGGUAAUUUAAUUGGAAAAAUAUCGGGUAGCUAACCUGAAGAUGGAGGUUCGAGUCCUAUCCCCUUCC
rnacentral:tRNA from 1 species